GUAACGAGCGCAACCCUUGUCCUUAGUUACCAGCACGUAUGUGGGCACUCUAAGGAGACUGCCGGUGACAAACCGGAGGAAGGUGGGGAUGACGUCAAGUCAUCAUGGCCCUUACGGCCUGGGCUACACACGUGCUACAAUGGUCGGUACAAAGGGUUGCCAAGCCGCGAGGUGGAGCUAAUCCCAUAAAACCGAUCGUAGUCCGGAUCGCAGUCUGCAACUCGACUGCGUGAAGUCGGAAUCGCUAGUAAUCGUGAAAUCAGAAUGUCACGGUGAAUACGUUCCCGGGCCUU
rnacentral:rRNA from 1 species